rnacentral:rRNA from 1 species
UCAAGUGAAUAAGUGCAUCAGGUGGAUGCCUUGGCGAUGAUAGGCGACGAAGGACGUGUAAGCCUGCGAAAAGCGUGGGGGAGCUGGCAAUAAAGCUAUGAUCCCGCGAUGUCCGAAUGGGGAAACCCACUGCAUUCUGUGCAGUAUCCUAAGUUGAAUACAUAGACUUAGAGAAGCGAACCCGGAGAACUGAACCAUCUAAGUACCCGGAGGAAAAGAAAUCAACCGAGAUUCCGCAAGUAGUGGCGAGCGAACGCGGAGGAGCCUGUACGUAAUAACUGUCGAGAUAGAAGAACAAGCUGGGAAGCUUGACCAUAGUGGGUGAUAGUCCCGUAUUCGAAAUCUCAACGGUGGUACUAAGCGUACGAAAAGUAGGGCGGGACACGUGAAAUCCUGUCUGAAUAUGGGGGGACCAUCCUCCAAGGCUAAAUACUCAUCAUCGACCGAUAGUGAACCAGUACCGUGAGGGAAAGGCGAAAAGAACCCCGGGAGGGGAGUGAAAUAGAACCUGAAACCUGAUGCAUACAAACAGUGGGAGCACCCUUGUGGUGUGACUGCGUACCUUUUGUAUAAUGGGUCAACGACUUACAUUCAGUAGCGAGCUUAACCGAAUAGGGGAGGCGUAGGGAAACCGAGUCUUAAUAGGGCGAACAGUUGCUGGGUGUAGACCCGAAACCGAGUGAUCUAUCCAUGGCCAGGUUGAAGGUGCCGUAACAGGUACUGGAGGACCGAACCCACGCAUGUUGCAAAAUGCGGGGAUGAGCUGUGGAUAGGGGUGAAAGGCUAAACAAACUCGGAGAUAGCUGGUUCUCCCCGAAAACUAUUUAGGUAGUGCCUCGAGCAAGACACUGAUGGGGGUAAAGCACUGUUAUGGCUAGGGGGUUAUUGCAACUUACCAACCCAUGGCAAACUAAGAAUACCAUCAAGUGGUUCCUCGGGAGACAGACAGCGGGUGCUAACGUCCGUUGUCAAGAGGGAAACAACCCAGACCGCCAGCUAAGGUCCCAAAUGAUAGAUUAAGUGGUAAACGAAGUGGGAAGGCCCAGACAGCCAGGAUGUUGGCUUAGAAGCAGCCAUCAUUUAAAGAAAGCGUAAUAGCUCACUGGUCGAGUCGUCCUGCGCGGAAGAUGUAACGGGGCUCAAAUCUAUAACCGAAGCUGCGGAUGCCAGUUUACUGGCAUGGUAGGGGAGCGUUCUGUAGGCCGAUGAAGGUGCAUUGUAAAGUGUGCUGGAGGUAUCAGAAGUGCGAAUGUUGACAUGAGUAGCGAUAAAGCGGGUGAAAAGCCCGCUCGCCGAAAGCCCAAGGUUUCCUACGCAACGUUCAUCGGCGUAGGGUGAGUCGGCCCCUAAGGCGAGGCAGAAAUGCGUAGUCGAUGGGAAACAGGUUAAUAUUCCUGUACUUGAUUCAAAUGCGAUGUGGGGACGGAGAAGGUUAGGUUAGCAAGCUGUUGGAAUAGCUUGUUUAAGCCGGUAGGUGGAAGACUUAGGCAAAUCCGGGUCUUCUUAACACCGAGAAGUGACGACGAGUGUCUACGGACAUGAAGUAACCGAUACCACGCUUCCAGGAAAAGCCACUAAGCUUCAGUUUGAAUUGAACCGUACCGCAAACCGACACAGGUGGGCAGGAUGAGAAUUCUAAGGCGCUUGAGAGAACUCGGGAGAAGGAACUCGGCAAAUUGAUACCGUAACUUCGGGAGAAGGUAUGCCCUCUAAGGUUAAGGACUUGCUCCGUAAGCCCUGGAGGGUCGCAGAGAAUAGGUGGCUGCGACUGUUUAUUAAAAACACAGCACUCUGCUAACACGAAAGUGGACGUAUAGGGUGUGACGCCUGCCCGGUGCUGGAAGGUUAAUUGAAGAUGUGAGAGCAUCGGAUCGAAGCCCCAGUAAACGGCGGCCGUAACUAUAACGGUCCUAAGGUAGCGAAAUUCCUUGUCGGGUAAGUUCCGACCCGCACGAAUGGCGUAACGAUGGCCACACUGUCUCCUCCCGAGACUCAGCGAAGUUG